rnacentral:rRNA from 1 species
UACGUAGGGGGCUAGCGUUAUCCGGAAUUACUGGGCGUAAAGGGUGCGUAGGUGGUUUCUUAAGUCAGAGGUGAAAGGCUACGGCUCAACCGUAGUAAGCCUUUGAAACUGGGAAACUUGAGUGCAGGAGAGGAGAGUGGAAUUCCUAGUGUAGCGGUGAAAUGCGUAGAUAUUAGGAGGAACACCAGUUGCGAAGGCGGCUCUCUGGACUGUAACUGACACUGAGGCACGAAAGCGUGGGUAGCAAACAGG